rnacentral:rRNA from 1 species
UACGUAGGGGGCAAGCGUUGUCCGGAAUCAUUGGGCGUAAAGAGCGCGUAGGCGGCCCUGUAAGUCCGCUGUGAAAGUCAAGGGCUCAACCCUUGGAUGCCGGUGGAUACUGCAGGGCUAGAGUCCGGAAGAGGCGAGUGGAAUUCCUGGUGUAGCGGUGAAAUGCGCAGAUAUCAGGAGGAACACCGAUGGCGAAGGCAGCUCGCUGGGACGGUACUGACGCUGAGACGCGAAAGCGUGGGGAGCGAACAGG